rnacentral:rRNA from 1 species
GAUGAACGCUGGCGGCGUGCUUAACACAUGCAAGUCGAACGGUGAAGGAGAGCUUGCUCUUUGGAUCAGUGGCGAACGGGUGAGUAACACGUGAGCAAUCUGCCCUUGACUCUGGGAUAAGCGUUGGAAACGACGUCUAAUACCGGAUACGAGCUGUGACCGCAUGGUCAACAGUUGGAAAGAACUUCGGUCAAGGAUGAGCUCGCGGCCUAUCAGCUUGUUGGUGAGGUAAUGGCUCACCAAGGCGUCGACGGGUAGCCGGCCUGAGAGGGUGACCGGCCACACUGGGACUGAGACACGGCCCAGACUCCUACGGGUGGCAG